rnacentral:rRNA from 1 species
GACGAACGCUGGCGGCGUGCCUAAUACAUGCAAGUUGAGCGCUGAAGGUUGGUACUUGUACCAACUGGAUGAGCAGCGAACGGGUGAGUAACGCGUGGGGAAUCUGCCUUUGAGCGGGGGACAACAUUUGGAAACGAAUGCUAAUACCGCAUAAAAACUUUAAACGCAAGUUUUAAGUUUGAAAGAUGCAAUUGCAUCACUCAAAGAUGAUCCCGCGUUGUAUUAGCUAGUUGGUGAGGUAAAGGCUCACCAAGGCGAUGAUACAUAGCCGACCUGAGAGGGUGAUCGGCCACAUUGGGACUGAGACACGGCCCAAACUCCUACGGGAGGCAGCAGUAGGGAAUCUUCGGCAAUAGACGAAAGUCUGACCGAGCAACGCCGCGUGAGUGAAGAAGGUUUUCGGAUCGUAAAACUCUGUUGGUAGAGAAGAACGUUGGUGAGAGUGGAAAGCUCAUCAAGUGACGGUAACUACCCAGAAAGGGACGGCUAACUACGUG